ACAUUUGUUCAGUAAUUUCUUUUUUUUCUCCACUGACUGUUUUAUUUUCCUGGACACAUCUGCCAGGCAGGCACUGUCAUCAUCAUCAUCAGCAUUGGGGACAGUGGACAUCAACGUGUCAUCAAGCGUCAGACUUUGCACAAACAAAGUUUGCAAAUUGAUUAUUUGAUUAAAAUUAAGUCAUUUAGUUUGCUUCAAUCUAACUUUAUGCCUGACUGAGCUGGCUUAGCAUUGAAUUUCGUUAAAUUAUUUUGAAUUUAGAACACAUUCUUUAUUCAGUAUUAUAUUCCAGUUCUGGUCUUACACUUUUUUUCAAAUAUUAAACAUAUUUGUAAAAUUAAUACUCUUCGUUUUUCAUACAAAACAAUAUAUAAACGACCAACAAAAAAAACAUAAAUACAUCUAGUAGAUAUAAUUUCUACAGUAUUAUUAUCGAUAAAUUGAAAAAUGUGGAUAUUUCGCGUACGUUACGAAAUGAUGACCAACUAUUGUUCGACCGAACUGAGAAGCUGGACGAGGGAGCCAAAACGUUGGGAGAAUUUGGGAAAGGGUAUGAUUGGAGUGCUGGCAAAGCUGCCAAUGCGUAAUAACUGUCAGCCGGAAUUUGUGCGUCUUUACGCUAGUGCACCAAGUGAUCUAUGACAAGAAAGGAAUGAACAUUUCAAAAUAAAGUUAAUAGUUUAUGUACCUGAAAUGAGGGAUGUAAGAAGUGUUUAUGGAAGUGUAAAUAUAUAUAUGUUUUAUCAUAGAUAUGUAAA